UACGUAGGGUGCAAGCGUUAAUCGGAAUUACUGGGCGUAAAGCGUGCGCAGGCGGUUUUGUAAGUCUGUCGUGAAAUCCCCGGGCUUAACCUGGGAAUUGCAUUUGUGACUGCACGGCUAGAGUGUGUCAGAGGGGGGUAGAAUUCCACGUGUAGCAGUGAAAUGCGUAGAUAUGUGGAGGAAUACCGAUGGCGAAGGCAGCCCCCCUGGGAUAACACUGACGCUCAUGCACGAAAAGCGUGGGGGAGCAAACAGG
rnacentral:rRNA from 1 species